AGAAAACACAAAAUAAGACUACUAAGAAAUUAGGAUGUUGUAGUUAAUUGUGAAAGAGGACAAAGUUUGAGAGUUGAACUGAUAAUGAACUUUAAUUGCAUAAUUAGUUGUACUUUAUACUUACAAAUGUAAUAUAGUAUAAUACUGUACUAUGUAAUACAAUUUAUAGGAUGGCCUAUCACUUCAGAUUUAAUUUUUUUUUUUUUUGGUACCGGGGAUCGAACUCAGAUCCUUGCGCUUGCACAGGAGGCAGCGAAACCACUGAGCUAAAUCCCCGGCCCCCAGAUUUAAGUUUUAAUUUCAUCCUGAGCCCACAUGCAACCAAGUUUCUCUGAAAGGCAAUACUACUCUGCUUGCUGGAUACUGUGAGAGAUCUGUCUGGAAGUUGUCACUUCUUCCCUUUAUCAGCCUUUGCCUUGCCACCCUCACCCCAAAAUGAUUCUGAGACUAAAAACUGAAGUCUGCAGAAUACAUAAAUAAGCAAGCAAAAUAGAACCCAUUGGAAAAAGCACAUCUGUCCACCAUCAUCACACAAAAAGGUUCAUUGUGUGGUCUUGUGAAAGGUUACACAGCAUACGAAGGAC
ensembl:lncRNA